rnacentral:lncRNA from 1 species
UAGAGAAAACUGAGUAGUUGAUGAAACAUCUUAGUGAAACAUGACAUUAAACACUGAGACCACAUAUCCUGUUGACCAGUUUAGAAAAUAUGCUUUGACCCAAAAUAUUUGAAAUAGAGAUUGUCUCAAAAAAUCAUUACAAAAGGUCACUGCAAUGUUUGUUUUGUAGAAGUUGUCCCUGUACUUCCCCUGGGAGGAAGGAAGGAAGAGAUAUACUGCACAUACACGUACUGUGCACUACACACACAUACAUGUCCACUAAAGACUAUGCACACACACAUACUAUGUACUGUACAAACUCUCACACACACAUAAACAUGUAUGCUAAGAACAACACACACAAUUACAGCUCUUUCUUUAACUAGCAAGGCAUUAAAAAGAUUGAACAAGGAAUGUCCUUCUGAAGAAGUGUCACUUCCUUCCUCACAAAAUUCUUUCCCUCCCAUCCAGCCCUAAGUGACCCUGUGUGCUACUAUAUGCUCUAGGCUUUCUUAGGUCAACCUUACUUUGGUUGAUGCCCCCUGAAAAACUAAGAGGCGGGGGCAUGGCAAGCAGCAGACCCUGCCGGCAGAGAUGGAGCUUUACUUCUCCUCCCCAAAGGGUUUUUGUGGACCACUGGACCAGGGCUUGGUAUCAGGACUCCCUGGCUGGGGAUGCCUUGUGGGGAUGACCCCUCUACCCCCAAGAGAAGAGCUGCCUGCUAAGCAUCAAGACGGAGCAGAAGCCCUCUUGCUGCACUGCUCACAGCACUCCAUUUUCAAGACAAUAGAGACUGGCCUGAUAGACAAUGUAUUCUUUAUCUAUUGCUGCACAACAAAUUACUCAAAGCCUUGUUAAUUUAAACAUAAAAUAUAAUUUAUUAUUGCCCAUGGUUGAUGCAUGUCAGGAAUUCAGCCAAGGCAGAGUGGAAAUGGAUUUUCUCUGUCACUCAGCUGGAUUUGAAGGCUGGGCACUAAAUUCAUGUGAAGUCUUGUUCACACAUACGUCUGGAGGUUGAUGCUGGACACUGGUUGGAACGCCCACACAUUGCGACUCCAUAUGACCUGAACUUCCUCACAACAUGGAGGCUGAGUUCCAAAGGAGGGCAUCCAGAGAGAGAGUGUGUGCAUGACAUAAACAGUUUCCUUUUUAUGUCCUAGCCUCAAAAGUUUCAUAUCAUCCUUUCUGAGGUACUUUGAUGAUUGGAACCAUCAGGGGUCUCUGCCCAGUUUCAUGGGGAUGGUACAUAGACCCCACUUCUUGAUGGGACCUGUGUUAGUCACAUUGUAAGAAGAACAUGUGGAAUGGAAUACAUAUGUUGAUGUAGGAAUCUUUGGAAAAUACAAUAUGCCAUAGUUGAGCAUGUGACCUGUAGCAAUUUGAUAUGGUUAUGAAUUCCAAAAAUAAAUAUUGGAUUAUGUUUGUAAUCUGAUCUGUACCUAGGCAUGAUUAAGUUAUGAUUAAGGCUUUGAUUGGGCCACAUCAUUAAGGCAUUGAGUCUCCACCCACCAAGGCAUGGCAAAAAGCAGAGUUGUGGGCUUUUAAUGUUGGAGUUUGAAGCUGAAGCCUUAAGCUGGAGCCCCGGGGAGAGAGACAGAGCUGUUCUCCUGAUAGUCUACAGCUGGCCUUGUGGAGAGAGACAAAGCCUAGAGAGCCUCAUAGUCUACAGCUGACCUUGUGGAGAAAACAGAGGAGCUGAACCCAGAGGAACCCAGGAAGCCUGAACCCUUGCAUACAUCGGCAGACAUCUUGCUCCAACAUGAGAAAAUAGACUUUGGUGAGGGAAGUAACUUAUGCUUUAUGGCCUGGUAUCUGUAAGCUCCUACCCCAAAUAAAUACCCUUUAUAAAAACGAACCCAUUUCUGGUAUUUUGCAUCAGCACCCCUUUGGCUGACUAAUAC